CUUUUAUUUGGGAAGAAACCCCAGGUCGAGCACCUGGGCUGACGGUACCAAAGGAAUAAGGACCGGCUAACUCCGUGCCAGCAGCCGCGGUAAUACGGAGGGUCCAAGCGUUAUCCGGAAUCAUUGGGUUUAAAGGGUUCGCAGGCGGUUUAAUAAGUCAGUGGUGAAAUCCCGUAGCUCAACUAUGGAACUGCCAUUGAUACUGUUAGACUUGAAUACAGUUGGAGUAGGCGGAAUGUGUAGUGUAGCGGUGAAAUGCUUAGAUAUUACACAGAACACCGAUAGCGAAGGCAGCUUACUAAACUGUGAUUGACGCUCAUGAACGAAAGCGUGGGGAGCGAACAGGAUUAGAUACCCUGGUAGUCCACGCCGUAAACUAUGAUUACUCGAUAUUGGCGAUAUACGGUCAGUGUCUAAGCGAAAGUGAUAAGUAAUCCACCUGGGGAGUACGGUCGCAAGAUUGAAACUCAA
rnacentral:rRNA from 1 species